GAUUUUGGUUUUUGGAUGUGGUGGUUAUUAGGGGUAGGAUAAAGGAAAGGAGAAUAAAAAGAGAGAGGGAAAGGGAUGGGAGUAGGAGAAGAAAUAUUGAAACAGUCUGUAAUAAUUAAAAAUAGAUGUUGUGGACUUUCCAACAAGCAUGAGGAGCUGAAGGAAAGGAAAAGGCUUCAAACCUUUGUGGGCAGAAACGAGUGAGACUGGACAUUCACCUUGGAGCACCAGGCAUGCUGUAUUUGUUAGAUUUGGAGUGGAGAUCAUUUAUCUACCCCACUCGCAGCGGAAGUGCACAACUAAGGAGAACACUGCUAAUUAACUUUGUCUGGAGACAUGGAGUUAAAAUUACCUGCCAAAUCUGGCUGCCUCACCUGGAUGGUUUCCCCCAAAACCUCACCUGGGAGCAGCACCUACUGCCUUGAUUUUCCUUGUUCC